CAAUCACAUAUUAAACCCAUCCCGAUGCACAUGCAUAAAUAAACUAACGCAUGUAUUUCAUAAACAAAUGUCAUGCAUACCUUUCAUACGUAAUCAAGAUUUCAGAUUUAUCAAAAACACAAAUCGUACAUAUAUUUUUCACAUACCUUACCUGUAUCACAUACAAACACAUAUCAACAGGUCUUGAAUUUGAUUCUCUUGUUUUGAAUUUUCAUAUUAAUUUUGAAAUUAUGUCAUACCAGAGUUGUAGAGCAUAUCUUUCAAUUUCAUUACGUUGUUGACAAGAAUGAGUUUGGUAGUUUAGUCUUAUGUUUGAAUCUUUAUGUACUACCCAGUGGUAUUUGAGUGGAAAUUGAAUUCCUAGCAACUUAUAAGAUGGUAUCGGAUUGAAUUUAAAAUAAAAUCGGAUUUGAUUUUAGUUAUUUUGAUUUUAUCUCCAAAGCUGCCGUCCAACUCCCCCUCUCCCUCCAUACCCUCUGUUUUUCUUUUUCUUUCCAAUUUGACUGCCGAAUUUUUGGUUUCCUCUGCUGCCAAUUAUUUACACUUUACACCCCUAUUUCCCUUCUUUUUCUCUUCUUAAUUUUGGUUCCUGCCAUAAUCCGACGUAGCAUUCCUUGUUCAACUUCGUUUUGCCGUUUCCUUCCUUGUAGUGGAAGUGCGGCUUUAAGGUUUCGUCUCGGGAGAAGUUCGUGAGGUGCACAAUCAUCCGCCGGCAGUUUAGUCGCUGCUCUACUGCUGAUUUCCCGGGGUUAAGUUUCUAAUGCCGGUUUGGGGAUUGGUUUAAGUGUUAAGCACUGAAUCCGCCUUUCGGUUUCGUUUUUAGUUGCUAAUUAGGUUGGGUUGUAAAUGUUGUGUUCAGUAAUUGUUGCUGUUGUGGUGCCGACUUUUUUACAGCAAUUAGAUGUGUGUUUCUAAUUCAAAAAUUAAGGAAAAAUCCGAAAUUGCAGUUCGUCACUCGGUGUGAGUGACACAGUUUGAUUUGUUAGAUUGUGUAGGUUAUAUGGGUGUGUGGAUCCAUUCUGAUCUUUUUGUGGGUUCUGUUUGGAUUGAGAAUAAAGUUUUGAAAUUGGAUUUUUAGAUAGCAUGUAGUACUUUAAAGUUUAUAUGUUUGUAUGUUAGUAAGUAUGAAAUUAAGUAAUAACUCUAUAUAAGCUUGUGAUAAAAUCUGAAUUAAUGACAUUGAUGAAAUAUGUCAUAUUUUUGAUUCGAUGAGAAUAUAUGUUGUAUGAGAUAUUAACAUGAUAAUAUAUGUGCAUUGGGGUGAGAUAUGAUAUGGAUUGGAGGAAGUAUUAUUUUGGCAGUAUUACUACAUUUUUUACCGUAUUUUCACAAAUUUCUAUUUGAACUGUAAAUUUUUUGAGUGGCAUACGUCAACAUUACGAUGUGCUGGUUGGAUGGACUAUUGCAAUCCUUAUGGUUUGAUGGGUUAGAUGGAGAUGAUAGAUAGCAGAUGGGGGUUGGAUUAAUUUGUUCUGAUAGAUACUUUUGCACAUGUGAAAUUCUAAUAUGUAUGUUUUAAUUAUGCAUGUGAUUUCUGUUUGUGCGCCGUGGCACACAUAUUGGCUUUUAGCUAACUUUAUUAUUUUACUAUUUUCAGGUAACCCUUAGAGAAAGUUGGGCGGCGAUCUUGAAGCUCGAUUUGGUAUUGGAUUUGGUUUUGAUUUGGCAUUGAAUUUGGUUUCAUUAGGAAACUUUUUUUUGGAUAUUAUGGACUUUUUAAACUGUAAUUUGUUUUUUUGUACGUUUAUUUUGAUUUUUUUUUUGGAUUUUUGGCUAAUAUUAUUUAGUUGGUUAUUUUUGAUAAAUUUUUAUUAAGUUAAAUGAUUUUUCUAAAGAUGAUAACUCUAAAAGGUCUUUCCGCGGAAAGUGUCUAAUUCAAAGACAUGAUGGUGUGAUGUACAAACUUAAGCUCCCAAACACUCAAAAGAAACGAAAUCAAAUACUUUUAUCAAAUCGAAAGGUUUUAAAGAAGGUUUUUGGUUUGGAUUUGAAGGAGCAAAAGUUUAAGAUUCUAGUGUAACCUUCGUAAUUUGGUUAUAAUAUCUCGGCCAAGUUUGAGGUGUUAUAUUUUAACUUACAAGAUUUUAGAUGUUUGAUAAGUAUUCUUUUUUAUUUUUCAAGAUAUCUAUUGGAACGAGUUUAGUAAUCAAUCCUUUGUAUUCUGUAGUCCCAUUAAAAAAUUAGAUGCUUAUUUUAAAUACUUACUAUUGAUUGAAUUUGUUA